GUCCACGCUGUAAACGAUAACCACUAGACGUCAGUCCGGCUUUGCUGGAUUGGUGUCGAAGCUAACGCGUUAAGUGGUUCGCCUGAGUAGUACGAUCGCAAGAUUAAAACUCAAAGGAAUUGACGGGGUCGCACAAGCGGUGGAACAUGUGGUUUAAUUCGACACUACGCGAGGAACCUUACCUGGGCUUGACAUGUACUUGACCGCCGUAGAAAUACGGUUUUCUAAGUUUACUUAGACGGGUACACAGGUGCUGCAUGGCUGUCGU
rnacentral:rRNA from 1 species